GCGCCCGUAGCUCAAUUGGAUAGAGCGUCAGCCUCCGAAGCUGAAGGUUAUGAGUUCGAUCCUCGUCGGGCGCA
rnacentral:tRNA from 1 species